UUUGAACAGAUCUCAAGGCAGAAUCCUGCACUUUUUAUUGUAAAUACAUUGUUCAUAUAUUUCUGUGAGCUCUUUUUAAGUUGCUUGUUUUUCCCUCCACGUUAAAUCCCGUCCGAGUUCAUUUUCCAGCUGCAGUUUCCAUCCGGGGGGAAAUAUCGGCGUCCUCACCUGCUGAUGUCUUCAUGCGGGUGAUGUUACAGUCUCACAGCGACAGGAGCAGCAGAAGAAGAAAUAUGUUUACUGCACUUUAGCGGAGGUAGAAGAAGUUGAUCGAUUCUCGGGUGAGAAGUUAUCUCAGGAAAGAACCAACGAGAUUACCUUCAGAACACCUGCAAGGUGUGGAAGUAAACUGGAAAACCGUAGACAACACCUGGUGAACCGCGGCGCCGGGGGAGAGCGCCGGGCUCUCCGGCAACGCCUGUGUGUCCUGGGGGAGGCCGAACAAGGACUGGCUGGACAUCCCUCCACCUUUGGUAAUCCGGGGGAACGUAACGAGUCUUCCUUUCUCUCCCAGUCUUCAUCAUCAAGCACCAAGAGUUUGCAUCGUUACAAUCUUCCUCCUCGGCGGCGGCGAGCACUCCCACCGGGGCUUCUGGGUAGCCAUCGGCGAGGGGGGGUCAACGAGGCAAACGGAGCGGUGGUGGAGCAGUCCGGUUCGGUCGGGUCUGACCCGGAUCAAAGAGAGGGAAGCUGUUCCCUGAUGGUUCACCUGCUUUAACCGGUGUUGGUGUGAUCUGAACCAAAGAGAAGAAAAGGAGCCGCUUUAUUAUUCAGAAGCUAAAUUAAUGCGCUGUGAGAGCGGAGCUGCAGCGCUGCGAGCUGAGGGUCAAAUACAUGCAAAUAUUAGCAUGUUGGGAUGCUCUUUAAACACUCCACCGUGCACGUGUGUGUGUGUGUUACGUAACGGGUGUGUUUGGAUUUAAUUAGCUCCCUACUUACAGUCUGAUAUUGGCUAAUGAAGCAGCAGAGUGUCCGUCGGUGAUGAAUGGGAGGCGUCAUCUUAAAACAUGAUAAAUCGGACUCGGCCCCUCUGGACAUCAAAAAACACGAAGCCGCCGGAGUGUGGGAUCAUGGGUAAAUGAGACCUGCAUGUUCCCCUCAGCGGGAAGGCGG
ensembl:lncRNA